CGGUGGAUGAUGUGGAUUAAUUCGAUGCAACGCGUAAAACCUUACUACCUUGACAUGUCCGGAAUCCCGAAGAGAUUUGGGAGUGCUCGCAAGAGAACCGGAACACAGGUGCUGCAUGGCUGUCGUCAGCUCGUGUCGUGAGAUGUUGGGUUAAGUCCCGCAACGAGCGCAACCCUUGUCAUUAGUUGCCAUCAUUUGGUUGGGCACUCUAAUGAGACUGCCGGUGACAAACCGGAGGAAGGUGGGGAUGACGUCAAGUCCUCAUGGCCCUUAUGGGUAGGGCUUCACACGUCAUACAAUGGUCGGUACAGAGGGUUGCCAACCCGCGAGGGGGAGCUAAUCCCACAAAGCCGAUCGUAGUCCGGAUCGCAGUCUGCAACUCGACUGCGUGAAGUCGGAAUCGCCAGUAAUCGUGGAUCAGCAUGUCACGGUGAAUACGUUCCCGGGUCUU
rnacentral:rRNA from 1 species